rnacentral:rRNA from 1 species
GUGCCAGCCGCCGCGGUAAUACCAGCUCUCCGAGUGGUGGGGAUGAUUAUUGGGCCUAAAGCAUCCGUAGCCGGCUGGACAAGUCCCCUGUUAAAUCCAACGAUCCAAUCGUUGGUCUGCGGGGGAUACUGUCCGGCUUGGGGGCGGGAGAGGCCGCCGGUAUUUCCGGGGUAGGGGUGAAAUCCUAUAAUCCCGGGAGGACCACCAGUGGCGAAGGCUGUCGGCUAGAACGCGCCCGACGGUGAGGGAUGAAAGCUGGGGGAGCGAACCGGAUUAGAUACCCGGGUAGUCCCAGCUGUAAACGAUGCAGGCUAGGUGUUAGGGCGGCUACGUGCCGCUCUAGUGCCGCAGGGAAGCCGUUAAGCCUGCCGCCUGGGGAGUACGGUCGCAAGGCUGAAACUUAAAGGAAUUGACGGGG